AGAGUUUGAUCAUGGCUCAGGAUGAACGCUAGCUACAGGCUUAACACAUGCAAGUCGAGGGGAAACGACAUCGAAAGCUUGCUUUUGAUGGGCGUCGACCGGCGCACGGGUGAGUAACGCGUAUCCAACCUGCCCACCACUUGGGGAUAACCUUGCGAAAGUAAGACUAAUACCCAAUGAUAUCUCUAGAAGACAUCUGAAAGAGAUUAAAGAUUUAUCGGUGAUGGAUGGGGAUGCGUCUGAUUAGCUUGUUGGCGGGGUAACGGCCACAAGGCUACGAUCAGUAGGGGUUCUGAGAGGAAGGUCCCCACAUUGGAACUGAGACACGGUACCAAACUCCUAACGGGAGGCA
rnacentral:rRNA from 1 species